rnacentral:lncRNA from 1 species
UUUUUUUUGUGUGUGUGUGUGUGUGCCAGGAUUACACAGGAAAUGAUGAAAUUUCUCUUUCAGCUCAUAUUCUAGUCUUAAUAUUAAUUUUAUUAUAGAGAGACAGUAAGACAAUGAUAAGCAGUUAUCCCUGCUCUGAUUCAUGAUAAACUGUCUAGUUAUCCUGACUCUCCUUUGCCCUUGACCCUUUGCCUUCUUCAAGUCAGACAGACUCCUGGACUGAAUUUGCCUUGGUGAUACUUUUCAUGGCUGUGGUGUCAGGAGUUAAGGAUUAAAGUGACCCACUGAGGGAGAGUCUUUGAAGAAAUGACAUUUGGACCAAUGCUGAAAGGAUAGGGUGUAUUAGUUCUAUGUUGGGAAUGAAAACUGUCACAGGCAAAAGAAACAAGGGUGACUUCAGGUCCCCUGGGCUUGGCGUUUACAGGGACAGAAGGAGGGAGGUGAAGCUUUGCCAUUAGAGGAGAAUAGAGUAAAAUGGCGGGGCCAUGCCCCACCCCCAACCCCAGCACUCUGCACAGUUUUCUUGAGGGGACAGUUUAACUGGGAAGGGCCCUUAGCAUGCACGCAGCAGUGUGCUCAGUGAGCUCAGACUGGAGGUUAGGUGGGGUGAAAGGAAGAAAAAGAACCAAGUUAGCACAGGCAUUUUCUCUGCCUAACUUCUCCUCAGCAUGGUGGACUGAAGCUAUGAAACUAUGAGCUGAGGAAGUCCUUCCCACUCAGGUUGCGUUUGCCAGAUAUUUUUUGAUGCAUUUAUUUAAAAAAAAAAAAAGAAUCCCCUUUGUAUGGAUUUGGCAAGCUCUCAGGAUUCGAGCAUCUGCUCACUUGUUCCCCUUCCUGAUUCAUGAAUGGCUCCUCACCCUAGAAUCCCCACUUUUGAAGGAACUAGGUCUUUUCUACCAGAGUCAGAUAUGAUUGAGUGUAGAUCAUGCUAAGCAAGAAACCUGAGUACCGAGGGGAGUACCUCUCAGGGACAGUGCUGAAGAGCCCCCGGAUGUGCUAGGGCGUUUCCAUGGGAUGCUCUCUUCUACUGUGGGCCUUUGGUCGCUCUGCAAGUGUGUGUGGAUUCUACUUAGACCUUGAAUUUUUACUUUGUAGCAUAUUGAGACUCAGGGAAAUUAGACCAAAGACUUUACCCUUCCUUACCUAUUACAUUUUU